rnacentral:rRNA from 1 species
AUUGAACGCUGGCGGCAGGCCUAACACAUGCAAGUCGAGCGGAGCGGCGGACGGGUGAGUAAUGCCUAGGAAUCUGCCUGGUAGUGGGGGAUAACGUCCGGCAACGGGCGCUCAUACCGCAUACUAUCAGAUGAGCCUAGGCCGGCUUCGCUAGGUGGAGGGGUAAAGGCCUACCAAGGCGACGAUCCGUAACUGGUCUGAGAGGCUGAUCAGUCACACUGGAACGAAGACACGGUCCAGACUCCUACGGGAGGCAGCAGUGGGGAAUAUUGGACAAGGGGCGAAAGCCUGAUCCAGCCAUGCCGAGUGUGUGAAGAAGGUCUUCGGAUUGUAAAGCACGUUAAGUUGGGAGGCGUUACCAACAGAAUAAGCACCGGCUAACUUCGUGCCAGCAGCCGCGGUAAUUC